AGGGUGAAGACAGGCCUCUAGGACGCGACUGACACUGAGGGACGACAGCUAGGGUAGCAAACCGGAUUAGAGACCCGGGUAGUCCUAGCCGUAAACUAUGGAUACUAGUUGCCCCCGCUUAGCGAGGGUGACGUAAGUUAACGCGUUAAGUAUCCCGCCUGGGGAGUACGACCGCAAGGUUAAAACUCAAAGGAAUUGACGGGGGAGCGCACAACCGGUGGAGCAUGUGGUUUAAUUCGAUACAAAGCGAAAAACCUUACCUGGGCUUGACAUAUAUCUGCAAGCUCUAUGAAAGUAGAGCCGCCUUCGAGGGUGAUAUACAGGUGUUGCAUGGUUGUCGUCAGCUCGUGUCGUGAGAUGUCCGCUUAAGUGCGGUAACGAGCGCAACCCCUAUCGUAUGUUGCAUAUCAUGCGAGACUGCCUUGCAGCAAGCAGGGAGGAAGGAGGGGAUGACGUCAAAUCAGCAUGACCCUUACGUCCAGGGCUACACACAUCCUGCAAUGGGGAGGACAGCGGGUUGCAAAGGGGCAACCUGGAGCUAAUCCUUAAACCUCUCCUCAGUUCGGAUUGUGGGCUGAAAUUUGCCCACAUGAAGUCGGAAUCGGUAGUAAUCGCAGGUCAGCAGACUGCGGUGAAUACGUUCUCGCUCCUUGUACACACUGCCCGUCAAGCCAGCGAAAUCGGCAAUGCCCGAAGUCUCCACAAUUUUUUGGGGCCUAAGGCAAGGUCGGUGACGAGGACUAAGUCGUAACAAGGUAACCGUA
rnacentral:rRNA from 1 species